rnacentral:rRNA from 1 species
UACAGAGGGUGCAAGCGUUAUUCGGAAUUACUGGGCGUAAAGCGCAUGUAGGUGGAGUAUCGUGUCAGAUGUGAAAUCCCGGGGCUCAACUUCGGAAUGGCAUUUGAAACUGGUACCCUUGAGUAUGGGAGAGGAAAGUAGAAUUCCAGGUGUAGAGGUGAAAUUCGUAGAUAUCUGGAGGAAUACCUGAGGCGAAGGCGGCUUUCUGGACCAUAACUGACGCUGAGAUGCGAGAGCGUGGGUAG